rnacentral:rRNA from 1 species
UGGGGAAUAUUGGACAAUGGGCGCAAGCCUGAUCCAGCCAUGCCGCGUGUGGGAAGAAGGCCUUCGGGUUGUAAACCACUUUUGUCAGGGAAGAAACGGCUCUUACUAAUAUUAGGAGCUAAUGACGGUACCUGAAGAAUAAGCACCGGCUAACUACGUGCCAGCAGCCGCGGUAAUACGUAGGGUGCAAGCGUUAAUCGGAAUUACUGGGCGUAAAGCGUGCGCAGGCGGCUUUGCAAGACAGAUGUGAAAUCCCCGGGCUCAACCUGGGAACUGCAUUUGUGACUGCAAGGCUAGAGUACGGUAGAGGGGGAUGGAAUUCCGCGUGUAGCAGUGAAAUGCGUAGAUAUGCGGAGGAACACCGAUGGCGAAGGCAAUCCCCUGGACCUGUACUGACGCUCAUGCACGAAAGCGUGGGGAGCAAACAGGAUUAGAUACCCCCGUAGUCCCUGAGCGGGCUGGCAAGGCGCAU